AGCAGCCGCGGUAAUUCCAGCUCCAAUAGCGUAUAUUAAAGUUGUUGCAGUUAAAAAGCUCGUAGUUGAAUUUCGGGAUCAAUAUGUUAGUCGUGCCAUUGGUACGUACUGGCAUUAUUGAUUCCUACCUUCUGAAGAACCUUGAUGUCAUUAAUUUGGUGUCUUGGGGAAUCAGGACUGUUACUUUGAAAAAAUUAGAGUGUUUAAAGCAAGCUAACGCUUGAAUACAUUAGCAUGGAAUAAUGAAAUAGGACGUUCGAUCCUAUUUUGUUGGUUUCUAGGAUUGACGUAAUGAUUAAUAGGGAUAGUUGGGGGCAUUAGUAUUCAAUUGUCAGAGGUGAAAUUCUUGGAUUUAUUGAAGACUAACUACUGCGAAAGCAUUUGCCAAGGAUGUUUUCAUUAAUCAAGAACGAAAGUUAGGGGAUCGAAGACGAUCAGAUACCGUCGUAGUCUUAACCAUAAACUAUGCCGACUAGGGAUCGGAUGAUGUUAAUUUUUAAUGA
rnacentral:rRNA from 1 species